CCUACGGGGAGCUGCAGUGAGGAAUAUUGGUCAAUGGGCGUAAGCCUGCACCAGCCAAGUCGCGUGAGGGAUGAAGGUUCUAUGGAUCGUAAACCUCUUUUAUAAGGGAAUAAAGUGCGGGACGUGUCCCGUUUUGUAUGUACCUUAUGAAUAAGGAUCGGCUAACUCCGUGCCAGCAGCCGCAGUCAUACGGAGGAUCCGAGCGUUAUCCGGAUUUAUUGGUAUUAAAGGGUGCGUAGGCGGCCUUUUAAGUCAGCGGUGAAAGUCUGUGGCUCAACCAUAGAAUUGCCGUUGAAACUGGGAGUCUUGAGUAUGUUUGAGGCAGGCGGAAUGCGUGGUGUAGCGGUGAAAUGCUUAGAUAUCACGCAGAACCCCGAUUGCGAAGGCAGCCUGCCAAGCCAUGACUGACGCUGAUGCACGAAAGCGUGGGGAUCAAACAGGAUUAGAUACCCGAGUAGUC
rnacentral:rRNA from 1 species